rnacentral:rRNA from 1 species
AUUGAACGCUGGCGGCAGGCCUAACACAUGCAAGUCGAGCGAGCGGCGGACGGGUGAGUAAUGUAUGGGGACUGCCCGAUAGAGGGGGAUAACUACUGGAAACGGUAGCUAAUACCGCAUACUAUCGGAUAACCCAUAUGGGAUUAGCUAGUAGGUGAGGUAAUGGCUCACCUAGGCGACGAUCCCUAGCUGGUCUGAGAGGAUGAUCAGACAAACUGGGACUGAGACAGGGCCCAGACUCCUACGGAGGCAGCAGUGGGAAAGAUGGCACAAGGGGGGAAAGCCGGAUGCAGCCAUGCCGCGUGUAUGAAGAAGGCCUUAGGGUUGUAAAGUACUUUCAGUCGGGAGGCGUUACCGACAGAAGAAGCACCGGCUAACUCCGUGCCAGCCGCCGCGGUAAUUC